GACGAACGCUGGCGGCGUGCUUAACACAUGCAAGUCGAACGCUGAAGCCCUUUCGGGGGUGGAUGAGUGGCGAACGGGUGAGUAACACGUGGGUAAUCUGCCCUGUACUUCGGGAUAAGCCUUGGAAACGGGGUCUAAUACCGGAUAGGACCUGUCCUCGCAUGGGGGUGGGUGGAAAGUUCCGGCGGUAGGGGAUGCGCCCGCGGCCUAUCAGCUUGUUGGUGGGGUAGUGGCCUACCAAGGCGACGACGGGUAGCCGGCCUGAGAGGGUGACCGGUCACACUGGGACUGAGACACGGCCCAGACUCCUACGGGAGGCAGCAGUGGGGAAUCUUGCGCAAUGGGCGAAAGCCUGACGCAGCAACGCCGCGUGGGGGAUGACGGCCUUCGGGUUGUAAACCUCUUUCGACAUCGACGAAGGGGCCCUGUUGUGGGGUUUUGACGGUAGGUGUGGAAGAAGCACCGGCUAACUACGUGCCAGCCGCCGCCGUAA
rnacentral:rRNA from 1 species